rnacentral:rRNA from 1 species
UUUGCCCUACGGGAGGCAGCAGUGAGGAAUAUUGGUCAAUGGGCGGGAGCCUGAACCAGCCAAGUCGCGUGAGGGAAGACGGUCCUAUGGAUUGUAAACCUCUUUAGGCGGGGAGCAAUGCCGGGCACGCGUGCCCGGAGGGAGAGUACCCGCAGAAUAAGCAUCGGCUAACUCCGUGCCAGCAGCCGCGGUAAUACGGAGGAUGCGAGCGUUAUCCGGAUUUAUUGGGUGUAAAGGGUGCGUAGACGGGAAAUUAAGUUAGUU